rnacentral:rRNA from 1 species
GAUACCCUACUAUACCAAAAAGUAAUUUUUUAGACCUAAGUAUUUAAAGUUAUGUACUUGAAAUUUGAAUAAUUUGGCGGUGAUUUAGUCUUGUCAGAGGAACCUGUUUUUAAAUCGAUACACCACGAAAAAUCUUACUUAGGCUUGUAGAGUAGUAUGUAUACCAUCAUUAUUAGGUAAUUUUUAUAGAAUAAAUUACUAAAAAUAAUUAUUAAUAGUGUUAAAUAUAUUAGAUCAAGGUGCAGCUAAUGCUUAAGUUAAAAUGGGUUACAAUAAAAAUUUAUUUAAUACGGAAUAUUAAUUUAAAUAAUUAAUUAGAAGGAGGAUUUGAUUGUAAAUUAAAUUUAAUAUGUUUAGUUAGAUAUAAGCUCUAAAUCAUGUACAUAUCGCCCGU